AGGGAGAUAUCCGCAAUGUUUAUACAAAGAGAAGUGCUUAUUAAAUGAGGAAUAAAGUAAUAUGAGGCUCGCCGGAAAAUGAAGUUUCCGACGAGCAUACCGACGUUGUAGUCUAACCUCAAGGGUAACAGUGCAAAAAAGGAGACAUUUCAUCCCAACGAUAGAUGGUCUUUAUAUAGAGCUUUGGGGGUACGAGGUUUCUGUGGCGUGAGCUGGCAAAAUCAGCGAAUCGUUCUGUUAGGAGAUAGGAUCUUUCUCUGAUUUGUUGUGGUCCCUCAAUAACAGGUGGUACCAACGGAAUUUGUUUUGCGUGACCACUCCUCCAAAUCCUUUCUUUGAAUAAUUUAUACUGCUGUAAAAGAUAUGUCGUAUGUGGGUCGCCGUUCACAGUUAUGAGUUUGUAGGCUCUUCUUGACGCAUGAUUGCUAAUGUAGCUGAUGCGUAACUCUAUCAUUUGCUUAAAUGGAGGCGAGAAGUAGGCCAAUGAAACACCUUUCGAAUGCUACAAACCAUUGGAUAUCACCUUGCACUCUAACAAUCAUGGCUGUUACUUUUUAGGAUUUUCAGGAUGGUUAGAUCAUUGCAAUGCAUGACAGGUUAGGCCAGAUGUGUUGUUUCCAAGAGUGCACCAUUGAAUGCUGAAACCAUUUUCUCUGUUCUUGCAACAUUAAGGAACGUGGCAGAACCUAUUAGGAUGAUCCCCGAGGCUCUAUCCGUUAUGAUUCAAGUUUAAAGUUUCCUUCGACUGUCUCAAUAACAUUUCUGCUUGAUGAAGAAAUAAAAAAAGAUGAUGGUGAAAGCAACUUCAAGCAAUGUUCUGCUGUGGAAAUUCAAGAUGACAACCUCAUUUGGGAUCGUGAAUUUGUGUCUCCAACUUUAUCAGAUGUAAAUUCAGGAAUCAAACAGGGACAGGAAAUAACAAUUUGUGGACCAGUUGGUGCUGGAAAAUAAUCACUUUUGUAUGCAAUAUUUGUGGAGGUUCAUAAGAUUUCUGGAACAGUAAGUUACGAGUAGAACUGUUACCUUUUUUAUCCUGGCGCACCUGUAUUCACAUUCACAUUGUCGGUGUAGCGCUGCUAGCUCUUGGAUCUAUAUGUCACCGCAUCACAGUAAGUUACGAGUAGAACUGUUACCUUUUUUAUCCUGGCGCACCUGUAUUCACAUUCACAUUGUCGGUGUAGCGCUGCUAGCUCUUGGAUCUAUAUGUCACCGCAUGAUACGGGAGAGAAUCUUAUAUUGUCUUGUGGAAACUAAUGCAAGGAAUGGCCUGAGAAACUGAUGUGGCCAGCGGAUGCAUACCUUUAGUUUUUAAUUCUUUCACUUGGCUUGACUGUGAUGUAUCUUAAGUCACAGGGUUUUUAUGAACGGUCUUGUGGUAUGGUUUUAUUAAUGUAUUUGAAACAACUUUAUUUGUAAAUUGAAACUUGUGGUUCAAAAAUCAUAAAUCAAAGCUAAUACCCACACCAAACGAUGUUAUGCAUGAAAUCCGCAGACAAAGGCCUGCCUAUUUCUUAUA